rnacentral:rRNA from 1 species
UACGAAGGGGGCGAGCGUUGUUCGGAAUUACUGGGCGUAAAGGGCGCGCAGGCGGCCCUUGAAGUCAGGCGUGAAAGCCCCGGGCUCAACCUGGGAGGUGCGCUUGAUACUCGAGGGCUUGAGUGCGGGAGAGGAGAGUGGAAUUCCCAGUGUAGAGGUGAAAUUCGUAGAUAUUGGGAAGAACACCGGUGGCGAAGGCGGCUCUCUGGACCGUAACUGACGCUGAGACGCGAAAAGCGUGGGGAGCAAACAGG